AUUGAACGCUGGCGGCAGGCCUAACACAUGCAAGUCGAACGGUAACAGGUAGCAGCUUGCUGCUUUGCUGACGAGUGGCGGACGGGUGAGUAAUGUCUGGGAAACUGCCCGAUGGAGGGGGAUAACUACUGGAAACGGUAGCUAAUACCGCAUAACGUCGCAAGACCAAAGAGGGGGACCUUAGGGCCUCUUGCCAUCGGAUGUGCCCAGAUGGGAUUAGCUAGUAGGUGGGGUAACGGCUCACCUAGGCGACGAUCCCUAGCUGGUCUGAGAGGAUGACCAGCCACACUGGAACUGAGACACGGUCCAGACUCCUACGGGAGGCAGCAGUGGGGAAUAUUGCACAAUGGGCGCAAGCCUGAUGCAGCCAUGCCGCGUGUAUGAAGAAGGCCUUCGGGUUGUAAAGUACUUUCAGCGGGGAGGAAGGGAGUAAAGUUAAUACCUUUGCUCAUUGACGUUACCCGCAGAAGAAGCACCGGCUAACUCCGUG
rnacentral:rRNA from 1 species